rnacentral:rRNA from 1 species
UACGAAUGGGGCGAGCGUUGUUCGGAAUUACUGGGCGUAAAGGGCGCGCAGGCGGCUCUGAAAGUCAGAUGUGAAAGCCCCGGGCUUAACCUGGGAACUGCAUUUGAUACUCUAGAGCUUGAGUACGGGAGAGGAGAGUGGAAUUCCCAGUGUAGAGGUGAAAUUCGUAGAUAUUGGGAAGAACACCGGUGGCGAAGGCGGCUCUCUGGACCGUAACUGACGCUGAGGCGCGAAAGCGUGGGGAGCAAACAGG